rnacentral:rRNA from 1 species
AUGCUGCAACAUCUGGAUCUCCAAGAUGAUGAGCUCGAUGAUGUGCUGGUAGGGGAGGAAGAGGUAAAGAAGUAUGCAGCGGAUGCUAGGUGGCUGGCGAUCGCAAAGGUGAACACAUCCCGUACUUUUAGUCCGUUGGUGAUGUUUGAGUGCAUGAAGUCGAUCUGGUCCCUUGCGCAAGUUCCUAAGUAAAGGGAGGCGGGCGAAAACUUAUUGAUCUUCCAAAUGUGUUGUCUCGGCGAUUGGAAGAAGGUGGUUCAUGGCGGUCCUUGGCUAUUCAGGGGGAUGGGGAUGCUGAUUGAGGACUAUGACGGCAAGAAGGAACCUACAUCCUUCGAGUUUGAUGGACUUUACGUGUGGGCGCAGAUCCACAACAUACCAGAAUUAUACCGCAAAGUAGAGGUUGUUGAUCAACUAGCUCGCCGCAUCGGGCGGGUGAAAGAAAUCCAGCGCCCCCCGGUUAUUUUAUGA